rnacentral:rRNA from 1 species
GAUGAACGCUGGCGGCGCGCUUAACACAUGCAAGUCGAACGGAAAGGCCCAAGCUUGCUUGGGUACUCGAGUGGCGAACGGGUGAGUAACACGUGGGUGAUCUGCCCUGCACUUCGGGAUAAGCCUGGGAAACUGGGUCUAAUACCGGAUAGGACCACAUUUUGGAUGGUGUGGUGGAAAGUUUUUCGGUGUGGGAUGAGCUCGCGGCCUAUCAGCUUGUUGGUGGGGUAAUGGCCUACCAAGGCGUCGACGGGUAGCCGGCCUGAGAGGGUGUACGGCCACAUUGGGACUGAGAUACGGCCCAGACUCCUACGGGAGGCAGCAGUGGGGAAUAUUGCACAAUGGGCGCAAGCCUGAUGCAGCGACGCCGCGUGGGGGAUGACGGCCUUCGGGUUGUAAACUCCUUUCGCUAGGGACGAAGCGUUAUGUGACGGUACCUGGAGAAGAAGCACCGGCUAACUACGUG